AAUUAGAGUGUUCAAAGCAGGCCUACGCCCGAAUACAUUAGCAUGGAAUAAUAGAAUAGGACGCGCGUUCCCAUUUUGUUGGUUUCUGAGAUCGCCGUAAUGAUUAAUAGGGAUAGUUGGGGGCAUUUGUAUUCCGUCGUCAGAGGUGAAAUUCUUGGAUUGCCGGAAGACAAACUACUGCGAAAGCAUUUGCCAAGGAUGUUUUCAUUGAUCAA
rnacentral:rRNA from 1 species